ACCUCGGUGGUGCAGUGGUAGAGCACGCCUCCCGGAUAGGAUGAAACACGGGUUCGGUUCCCGGUUGAGACC